UUAAAAGGAACAUGUUAUGUUAGGCCACAACAUUCUUGUUUAUUUUUCCAAGGAUGCAAAAACAAAGAAUGCUUAUUUAAGUGGAAGGAAAAACCAAAGGAAGGGAAAAGAAGAGAUUUUUGGUUUGUUCCCACUGAUUCUAUAUCUUUGAACUUCCCAUCUCACAAUCGCCGACUCAAAUGGAGGCGGAGCCCGCGUCUGGGCCCGGGCCUGAGUUUAACUCGAAGGAGGAAGCUUUCGCAUUCUACCAAGCCCACGCGAAAUCUGUGGGUUUCUCCGCCAUAAUCAAAGCCAGCCGCCGAUCCCGAAUCUCCGGCAACUUCAUCGACGCCAAAUUCGCCUGCACUCGCUACGGUGCCCCACCAAGCCACAAGCCCAAACGGGCCCCUUCCCGGGCCAAAACCGAUUGCAAGGCUUCCAUGCACGUGAAACGAACACCCCACGGUACAUGGAUAAUCUCUUCUUUCAUCAAACACCAUAACCACCAAAUUUCCCCCAUUCACAGUAGCCCUAAACCCAAUAAUAAUGUUAACAACAAGGCAAGUCCCUCAAGGAAACUCAAGGUUAAAAAAACACCGCAAUACUUAACUUUCGCCCAAGGUGACCUUCAAUUUUUGCUCAACGCUUUCAUGUCUAUGCAAAAUGAAAACCCUAAUUUCUUUUUCGCGGUCGAUCUUAACGAGGAGCAGCGGUUGAGGAGUGUUUUCUGGGUGGACGCUAAGGCUAGGCUUGAUUAUAGACACUUCAGUGAUGUGGUGCUUUUGGACACCACUCACGUUAAAAACGAGUGUAGAUUGCCCUUUGUUCCGUUUGUUGGUGUGAACCACCAUCUUCAGUUUUUCUUGCUGGGAUUGGCCUUUGUGUCUGAUGGGUCUGAAUCCACAUAUGCGUGGCUGAUGAGGAAUUGGUUGAGGGCAAUGGGAGGAGGUGCUCCAAAGGUGAUGCUCACUGACCGUGAUGAAGUGCUGAAGAGAGCGGUUGCUCAAGUGGUUCCUGAGUCUUGUCAUUGCUUUUGUCUGUGGCAUGUGUUGAGUAAGGUUCCAGAGAAACUCGGUCGCCGGAUUCGUGGGCACGGUGGGGAGUUUAUGAGUGGGUUUAGUGAGUGUGUUUUGAGGUCUAGGACAAAGGAGCAGUUUGAGAAUAGGUGGGAGGAGAUGGUUGAGAGGUUUGACAUGGGUGAUGAGAGUUGGUUGUGUGAGAUUUAUGAGGAUCGGAAACAGUGGGUACCUGCGUUUAUGAAUGGCAGGGUUUUAGGAGGAAUGUCGACUGUGCAGAGAUCAGAAGCCAUGAACUGCCUGUUUGAUAAAUAUGUGCAGAGGAAAACUACUAUGAAAGAGUUUCUGGAGCAGUACAGAGUGGUGUUGAGGGGUAAGUGUGAGGAGGAAGCCAAGGCUGAUUUUGAAACUCUGCGUAGACAGCCAGCGUUGAAGUCCCCAUCACCUUUUGGGAAACAAAUGGUGGAGUUGUACACCAAUGCAGUGUUUAAGAAGUUCCAGGGUGAGGUCUUGGGAGCUGUUGCUUGUCAUCCAAGGAAAGAGAGCGAAGAUGGGGCAAUGAAAAUGUUUAAGGUUCAGGAUUUCGAGGACAAUCAAGAUUUUGUUGUGACGUGGAAUGAAUCGACUUCAGAAGCAUCAUGCUCUUGCUAUUCAUUUGAGUUCAAUGGCUAUCUUUGUAGGCAUGUAAUGAUUGUGCUACAGAUUUCUGGUAUACAUAGCAUCCCACCUCGGUAUAUAUUAAAACGCUGGACAAAAGAUGCCAAGAAAAGAGAUCUGUCUGUGGCAGAUGUCGUUGUCUCUGACUCUAGGGCUGAGCGCUAUAAUAAUUUAUGUCAACGAGCUUUUGAGUUGGGUGAUGAAGGGUCUUUAUCAUACGAGACUUACAUUGCUGCUGUAAAGGCGUUGGAAGAAGCUUUGAGAAAGUGUGAGAACCUGGAUGGUUCAAUUCAGAGAGUCAGAGAACCGAAUCUUCCAUGUUUUGGUUCUCAAGAGGUAAGCCCUGAACCAGAGAUCAUUGCUAUGGGAGUCGAUUCUAGCUGGCAGCAAAUGGAAAACCCCAAUGCACAAGAUCAGAAUCCGGAUGGCUAUUUUUCUACUCAGCGGAUUGAUUUUGGAAUGUGCAACCAAUUGAAUUCAGUAGCUGCUAUUCGUAAUGAUUAUUAUUGCAACCAGCAUGGCAUCCAAGACCGGGGACAGUUGAACUCAAUUGCAUCCAUCCAUGAUCCCUGUUACAUGGCCCCACAAAGGAUGCAACCGAUGGUAUGGACUCUACUAUAUUUUUACUGUUGAGUAAAUAGUAAAUUUUGUCCCUAAAAGCACCAACGAAAUGGAUGUGUAGCAUGUUAAGCUCCAUAUUUGAUGCAUAUAUUGAGCAACGCAGCUUCCAACUUCUGCCUAUACUCCUUUACCCAUUUCACACAUUCUGUUCGAUUUGCUUCUUCCUUCUACUCAAUGAAACGCGAAGCUCUUUGUAAUGGGGACUUCCAAAUUUCAUUACAAAGGAAUCAGUGAAUUAUAAAAGUUAAGAAAAUGGAUUAGAGAGGAUCUUCGAAGUACUCAGCGAGCUCUCCUAGCAUGGCAGUGUGGACACAGUUUUCACAUUUCUUGGGUCAAGCCCACGGAGGGUCAUCCUCACAGCCGCAUGGGAUGGAGGUAAAGGUAAAACAGCUAAAUUCAAGGCACCAGUCUCAGUGAGUUAGGUUAUAGGCUGACAUUGUGUUUCAUACUUGUAUAUCAGCAUGUAAAUGUUUCAGUUAACGUUAUGUAUAUAUUAGAAAGUCAGAAGUCUUUUUGAUGAGCCUUGAUUAAUUCCUGCCCUUUUAGUAGAGAUGUAGGACUUUUGUUUCUUAACUAGUGGAAAUGAAUCAUGCAGUACUAUAGCAUAUCAUUCUGGCACUAUCCCUUCUAUAUAUUGAAGCAGCUGGUUUCAUUUAGUAACAA